rnacentral:rRNA from 1 species
CCCUUAGAUGUUCUGGGCCGCACGCGCGCCACACUGACGGAGUCAACGAGUUGUCCUGCAUCGGAAGGUGUGGGUAAUCUUUUGAAACUUCGUCGUGCUGGGGAUAGAUCUUUGCAAUUUUCGAUCUUGAACGAGGAAUUCCUAGUAAGCGUGAUUCAUCAGAUCGCGUUGAUUACGUCCCUGCCCUUUGUACACACCGCCCGUCGCUACUACCGAUUGAAUGGUUUAGUGAGGCCUCGGGACUGGCGCGCUCGAGUAGCAAUACACCUGCGCGCCGGGAACUUGGUCAAACUUGAUCAUUUAGAGGAAGUAAAAGUCGUAACA